ACAGCUGUGCAGGAGAAUGUUUUGAUAUUUGACUUCUGUUCUUCCAAGUAGAGUGGAGGAAAUGGAUUCAAACCAAUUCACUUGGAGAACGUAAGCCAAGCACAACCACAGGAUCAAACGUAGAAAUGGAGUGCAAGUUCGUCUACUGUUGGUCACCAUUUUUGAGGAAGCAGAUAUGGAUGGAUCU
rnacentral:lncRNA from 1 species